AUUGAACGCUGGCGGCAUGCCUUACACAUGCAAGUCGAACGGCAGCGGGGACUUCGGUCCGCCGGCGAGUGGCGAACGGGUGAGUAAUGUAUCGGAACGUACCAUUGAGUGGGGGAUAACGUAGCGAAAGUUACGCUAAUACCGCAUAUUCUCUCCGGAGGAAAGCAGGGGACCGCAAGGCCUUGCGCUCUUUGAGCGGCCGAUAUCAGAUUAGCUAGUUGGUGAGGUAAAGGCUCACCAAGGCGACGAUCUGUAGCGGGUCUGAGAGGAUGAUCCGCCACACUGGAACUGAGACACGGUCCAGACUCCUACGGGAGGCAGCAGUGGGGAAUUUUGGACAAUGGGGCAACCCUGAUCCAGCCAUGCCGCGUGAGUGAAGAAGGCCUUCGGGUUGUAAAGCUCUUUCGGCCGGGAAAAAAUCGCAUGGGCUAAUACCCUGUGUGGAUGAUGGUACCGGAAUAAGAAGCACCGGCUAACUACGUGCCAGCAGCCGCCGCAG
rnacentral:rRNA from 1 species